rnacentral:rRNA from 1 species
AACUGCGAAUGGCUCAUUAAAUCAGUUAUCGUUUAUUUGAUAGUACCUUACUACUUGGAUAACCGUGGUAAUUCUAGAGCUAAUACAUGCUAAAAACCCCAACUUCGGGAGGGGUGUAUUUAUUAGAUAAAAAACCAACGCCCUUCGGGGCUCCUUGGUGAAUCAUAAUAACUUAACGGAUCGCAUGGCCUUGCGCCGGCGACGGUUCAUUCAAAUUUCUGCCCUAUCAACUUUCGAUUGUAGGGUAUUGGCCUACAAUGGUAUCAACGGGUAACGGGGAAUUAGGGUUCGAUUCCGGAGAGGGAGCCUGAGAAACGGCUACCACAUCCAAGGAAGGCAGCAGGCGCGCAAAUUACCCAAUCCCGACACGGGGAGGUAGUGACAAUAAAUACUGAUACAGGGCUCUUUUGGGUCUUGUAAUUGGAAUGAGUACAAUUUAAAUCCCUUAACGAGGAACAAUUGGAGGGCAAGUCUGGUGCCAGCAGCCGCGGUAAUUCCAGCUCCAAUAGCGUAUAUUAAAGUUGUUGCAGUUAAAAAGCUCGUAGUUGAACCUUGGGCCUGGCUGGCCGGUCCGCCUCACCGCGUGCACUGGUCCGGCCGGGCCUUUCCUUCUGGAGAGCCGCAUGCCCUUCACUGGGUGUGUCGGGGAACCAGGACUUUUACUUUGAAAAAAUUAGAGUGUUCAAAGCAGGCCUUUGCUCGAAUACAUUAGCAUGGAAUAAUAGAAUAGGACGUGCGGUUCUAUUUUGUUGGUUUCUAGGACCGCCGUAAUGAUUAAUAGGGAUAGUCGGGGGCAUCAGUAUUCAAUUGUCAGAGGUGAAAUUCUUGGAUUUAUUGAAGACUAACUACUGCGAAAGCAUUUGCCAAGGAUGUUUUCAUUAAUCAGUGAACGAAAGUUAGGGGAUCGAAGACGAUCAGAUACCGUCGUAGUCUUAACCGUAAACUAUGCCGACUAGGGAUCGGGCGAUGUUAUUAUUUUGACUCGCUCGGCACCUUACGAGAAAUCAAAG